GAUGAACGCUGGCGGCGUGCCUAAUACAUGCAAGUCGAGCGAACAGACGAGGAGCUUGCUCCUCUGACGUUAGCGGCGGACGGGUGAGUAACACGUGGAUAACCUACCUAUCAGACUGGGAUAACUUCGGGAAACCGGCGCUAAUACCGGAUAAUAUAUUGAACCGCAUGGUUCAAUAGUGAAAGACGGUUUUGCUGUCACUUAUAGAUGGAUCCGCGCCGCAUUAGCUAGUUGGUAAGGUAACGGCUUACCAAGGCAACGAUGCGUAGCCGACCUGAGAGGGUGAUCGGCCACACUGGAACGGAGACACGGUCCAGGCGCCUACGGGAGGCAGCAGUAGGGAAUCUGCCGCAAUGGGCGAAAGCCUGACGGAGCAACGCCGCGUGAGUGAUGAAGGUCUUCGGAUCGUAAAACUCUGUUAUUAGGGAAGAACAAAUGUGUAAGUAACUAUGCACGUCUUGACGGUACCUAAUCAGAAAGCCACGGCUAACUACGUG
rnacentral:rRNA from 1 species